rnacentral:rRNA from 1 species
AGAGACCGGCGCACGGGUGCGUAACGCGUAUGCAAUCUACCUUUUACAGAGGGAUAGCCCAGAGAAAUUUGGAUUAAUACCUCAUAGUAUAUAGACUCGGCAUCGAGAUUAUAUUAAAGUCACAACGGUAAAAGAUGAGCAUGCGUCCCAUUAGCUAGUUGGUAAGGUAACGGCUUACCAAGGCUACGAUGGGUAGGGGUCCUGAGAGGGAGAUCCCCCACACUGGUACUGAGACACGGACCAGACUCCUACGGGAGGCAGCAGUGAGGAAUAUUGGACAAUGGGCGCAAGCCUGAUCCAGCCAUGCCGCGUGCAGGAUGACGGUCCUAUGGAUUGUAAACUGCUUUUAUACGAGAAGAAACACUGCUACGUGUAGCAGCUUGACGGUAUCGUAAGAAUAAGGAUCGGCUAACUCCGUGCCAGCAGCCGCGGUAAUACGGAGGAUCCAAGCGUUAUCCGGAAUCAUUGGGUUUAAAGGGUCCGUAGGCGGUUUAAUAAGUCAGUGGUGAAAGCCCAUCGCUCAACGGUGGAACGGCCAUUGAUACUGUUAGACUUGAAUUAUUAGGAAGUAACUAGAAUAUGUAGUGUAGCGGUGAAAUGCUUAGAGAUUACAUGGAAUACCAAUUGCGAAGGCAGGUUACUACUAAUUGAUUGACGCUGAUGGACGAAAGCGUGGGUAGCGAACAGGAUUAGAUACCCUGGUAGUCCACGCCGUAAACGAUGGAUACUAGCUGUUGGAAGCAAUUUCAGUGGCUAAGCGAAAGUGAUAAGUAUCCCACCUGGGGAGUACGUUCGCAAGAAUGAAACUCAAAGGAAUUGACGGGGGCCCGCACAAGCGGUGGAGCAUGUGGUUUAAUUCGAUGAUACGCGAGGAACCUUACCAAGGCUUAAAUGUAGAUUGACCGGUUUGGAAACAGAUCUUUCGCAAGACAAUUUACAAGGUGCUGCAUGGUUGUCGUCAGCUCGUGCCGUGAGGUGUCAGGUUAAGUCCUAUAACGAGCGCAACCCCUGUUGUUAGUUGCCAGCGAGUCAWGUCGGGAACUCUAACAAGACUGCCAGUGCAAACUGUGAGGAAGGUGGGGAUGACGUCAAAUCAUCACGGCCCUUACGCCUUGGGCUACACACGUGCUACAAUGGCCGGUACAGAGAGCAGCCACUGGGCGACCAGGASMGAAUCUAUAAAACCGGUCACAGUUCGGAUCGGAGUCUGCAACUCGACUCCGUAAGCUGGAAUCGCUAGUMAUCGGAUUCAGCCAUGAUCCGGUGAAUCCUUCCCGGCCUUG